rnacentral:misc_RNA from 1 species
UCAUUGUUUCUUUUCUUUUUUUUUUUUUUUUUUUUUUUUUUUUUUUUUUUUUUUUUUUUUUUUCUCAUUUCGUAAAAAAAAAAAAAAAAAAAAAAAAAAAAAAAAAAAAAAAAAAAAAAAAAAAAAAAAAAAAAAAAAAAAAGGUUAGGUUAGGUUAGGUUAGGUUAGGUUCCCAGGCCCCAGACCUAGGUCUGGGAGGAGUUCCUGGUCUUCUACCUGGGCGCGUCCCCCGGGUGGCGGAUAGGGGAG